AUUUCUGUCACAACCAAAGUUUUUGUUGUUAUUAAUAAUUUCAAAAUUAAGGAAUAAAAUUUAAAAUUGUAGUUUAUAUUAUUAUUAAUAGAUGACACUAAAUGUUAGCAGUAUGGGGAUAAUAUAUAACUUAACUGAUUUCUUAACACUGCCAAUAUCUGCCAUAGGGACAUCAUACAUUGUUACAUCAUCGUGAAGUCAUGCUUUAAUGUUUUGUGACAUUAUCAAUUGUUACAUUAUGAUGAUGUCAUCACAAUGUCACAAAUUAUUAUGUCAUUGUGAUAUCAUAAUUUUUUAUUUUUUUUUAUCAAUAAAUGAUGUCACUUUUUGCUCAAUAAGAGCAUUAAAUAGUGAGGUAAAACAAGGCUUUCUACAGAUUGCUUAUCCCUGCAGAGUAGUCAGUCAGAUUUUGAAAGACAGGAAUCAAUAGGCCAGACCUGGACUCCUUGAUAAAUUUUUGAGAAAGUGGGAUCUGAGAUUCAAAUACAGGUCCUCCAGAGCAUUUUGUGUUGUCAUUCAUUAUUAUGUCAUGAUGACAUCCUUAUCAUGGUGACAAUUUUUAAUCAUUUAAAAAUAAAUAAUGCUAAAACUGCUAGUUGCCAAUUUAGUCAUUAGUCAUGCACAUGCACAGUUGCUCUAGCUAAUUAAAUUGGCCCAUACUUGUAUAACUAUAUUGAGCAUAUUAGCCUAUACAACUGCUUAUUUUUUUAUGUCACUAUACUUGAAUAUGUAGACCAACAGAU
rnacentral:lncRNA from 1 species